UACGUAGGGUGCGAGCGUUAAUCGGAAUUACUGGGCGUAAAGCGUGCGCAGGCGGUUCGUUAUGUCCGAUGUGAAAGCCCCCGAGCUCAACUUGGGAAUGGCAUUGGAAACUGGCGGGCUGGAGUGUGGCAGAGGGGGGGUGGAAUUCCACGUGUAGCAGUGAAAUGCGUAGAGAUGUGGAGGAACACCGAUGGCGAAGGCAGCCCCCCUGGGCCAACACUGACGCUCAGGCACGAAAGCGUGGGGAGCAAACAGG
rnacentral:rRNA from 1 species